AGUAAUGUCUGGGAAACUGCCUGAUGGAGGGGGAUAACUACUGGAAACGGUAGCUAAUACCGCAUAAUGUCGCAAGACCAAAGUGGGGGACCUUCGGGCCUCAUGCCAUCAGAUGUGCCCAGAUGGGGUUAGCUAGUAGGUGGGGUAACGGCUCACCUAGGCGACGAUCCCUAGCUGGUCUGAGAGGAUGACCAGCCACACUGGAACUGAGACACGGUCCAG
rnacentral:rRNA from 1 species